ensembl:lncRNA MMP25-AS1 MMP25 antisense RNA 1
GCGUGCGCCCCUGAAGGCGGGUUCCGGUGGCAGCGCCGGGGUCUCAGACCCUGAGGAGACUGAGCCCAGCGCCAGGCGACCGGUCCCCGCCGCCGCCGCCCCUGCGCGGGAGAUCCCCCCUGCUUAGUCCGCGCCCGAGCCCCCGUCCGUGGGAACAGACAAGGGGCCUCCGCAGCGCCUCACAACCCCCGACCAGGUCCAGCGGCGGGGGACUCGGCCGUGGAGGGCGCUGUUCGGUCUGGAUGGCUCCCCCCAUCAGCGGGAGGCUACACCCCCCACCAGCAGGGGCAAGAGGAGCAGCGGGAUGGGAGCAGGCCAACGUCCUGCGGCCUGGUUGAGCUCGCACUGACAAUCGCAGGCCCAGUAACCCGCAGGUCACCGCGCUCCCCACCUGCGUUGCUGACGGUGACAUCGUCAGGGGAGGGGGGCGCGCCUUCCCAGAGGCUCAGGUCGCGAGGGUAGCCGGGGUCCGGGCGCGCCGCCGCCUCGUCGUAGCGCCAGUACUGCCGGCCGCGGACCAGCGCUAAAAGUGCCAGGGCCUUGCCUGGUGGCUCAGACCUGUAAUGCCAGCACAUUGGGAGGCUGACACCGGAGAAUCACCUGAGCCAGGAGAUUGAGCCCAGCCUGGGCAAUAUAGUGAGACUCCAUCUCUACAAAAUAAUAAAAUAAAUUACUAGCAAGGC